rnacentral:lncRNA from 1 species
GACUAAUAGAUCACGUAUGGAUAAUGGAUGCGCUUGCCGCAUUCUGCUUUUCGUUAGGAAACAGCAACUUUCGUUUGGCCAUUUUGAUGUGGAGUUUUAUCUUGUGAGUUUUUGGAUUUAUUUUUUAGUUUUAACCUUCAUUCUAAGUCGUUGUUUUGGUUCUCAAUUGCCAUAUAAAAGAUUGUUCGGGGAUGCUAGUUGUUUUAAGAUACUGACCGAUAGCCAAUUGUUAAUAUUGAAACUAGCUUUUUUCUUUUUUGGGGGGGGGGUAGAAGAAACUAGCUUUCGAAGGUCAUAAUUCUCGAUCA